ensembl:lncRNA
GAAAUUUGUGGAUGAGAAAUGUUACAAAUCCAUGAAAACGAGUUUGGGUUCAGAGGAAAAUAAGGGAUUGACACCCCUACUCACCAGGAAAAUAAAAUAGAACUAGAGAUACUCAAGAAAAAAGGGGUCUCAGAGAAAAAAGAAGUAAAAACCCAAACAGGAUGCUUUUAAAAAAGAUUUUACAGCUAGGUGAAGGAUGAGUCCAUGGCCAUUCCUAGCCUUUGUCUGAUGAUGCUUCUCCACAAGGCCAUGCAGAAGCCUUCCUCAAGAGCAGUCUUCUUGCCAGGGCUUGAUCUGAAGAUUCCAAGCAUCACUUUCAUGAAGAUUUCAACUUCCAAAAUCUCACCACGCCUCAGAGAAACUGACCUAAGAAAGGAUUCAUCUUAUGCAAUUGCAGCAACAGGUAUAGAUUUAUAUAUAACAGAUCUAGCACCACCUCAUCCACAAAUUGUGACCGGAUGCCGGUAUAGACUGGGCAGCAAGCUGGGAUCUGGAAUUACAGAACAGAGAGAAGCUAGCUGGCUUACCCAAGAUUGGAUGUAUGCUCUGUUAGAUACUGUUAGAUACUAAUCCCAGAUGACAGAAUUGACAGAGUAUGGAACAGUCUCUUUCCUUUGCCUGGAAGCCACAGAUUGUUAGAUUCUACGUGUGUGUGAGAUUAAAGGGUCACUAGAAUGACAGAAAACAAAGUAGGCAAGUCCAUGAACCUUACUGCUGAAGAAUCUUGUGAAAGCACAGCUUGUCCUGUGCAUUUAUUUUCCAUUAAUGAUAAAGUGAGGAGAUAGAAAAUCCUUAAGGCUUCAAGGCACCUCUGCACUGACCAUUUUGUACCAUAAAAGCGUGGAGCUUCCAAAGACCCUCACAAGGAGUUCUCAUUGUGGCUAAGAGGGCUAAGGACCUGACAUUGUCUCUGAGUAUGAUGGUUGGAUCCCUGGCCUGGCUUAUUGGGAAGGAUUCAGCAUUGCUACAAGCUGCGUCAUAGGUCACAGAGGCAGCUUGGAUUUGGCCUUGCAGUAGCUGCAGCUGCAACUCAGAUUUGACCCCUAGCCUGGGGAACUUCUAUAUGCUGUAAGUGAGACCAUAAAAAGAAAACAACAACAACAACAACAAAACAGUACCAACUCUGACAAGAGCACCUUUUUUCUUUAUCUCUUUUUUUUUUUUUUUUUUUUUUAAGCAGUCGAAAGUGCUUGGAUUAAAACUAGAGCCAUUUGAUGAAUAACUCCUUGGCAUUGAUAAGUACCUACACUGCCAGUGAUGAGCGUUAAGGGCUUUAUAUAGUUUCUCAUUUAAUUCUUCAAAGAAUCUUAUACUUUUGAUACCAUUAACCCCAUUUUAAAGACAGCGGUACCACAGAUGCAAGGGAUUAAGUUACCUGCUGAAGGUCACAAAACUAGUUAGCAAACUUAGGAUUCCAGCCCAGAUGUGUUGAGCUUUAAAGCCCUUGUUCUGCACUAUUCAAAGCCUAAGUAGAAUAUCAGUCCCACCACCUAUUAGCUGUGUGUCCCUGAGUAAGUCAUUGAAACAAGUGAGCCUCAGCAUCUUCAUCUUUAAAUGCAAAUAAUAAUACAGCUGCUGUGAUGAUGAAAGACAAACAGGUAAAAUAUAAAUAAUAUCAUACCAUCGUCUUCAUAGGUUUGGUAGAUAACUUAGAAGGUUUGAGACGAAAACCCCCAGUAAACAACAAAAUACCGUAUAUAUACAAAUGUAACUAUAAUUGGAACAUCUGUGGAAAAGAUAUUCUAAAAAGAUGAACUGAUUUUCUUAUUCAAAGACCUGAGUGUUAAACCAGAAAUGCACUCAGAGUAAGAUUAUCCUGAAACUUUAGACUUGGGCAGUUAUCAAAAGGCUUCCACAGGAGACCCCUUCCCAGCACCCAAGCUAAGAACACAUUCCAAAGAAAACAAAGGCCACUCUGUGUGCAUGUGUGUGUGUUUCUGUUCGGGUCUGCACACCUGUGCCUGUCUGUGCUUGUUGGUGCUGACAUGAGCUUCACUGCCCUGAUUUUACCUCUCAGUGUGGUCAUCGAGGGAGCUCCAGAUGUUCUGUGGGAGUCGUCAAGCGCCCUAUGUGAACGCUAAAAACAAAAAGGUGCUCAUGGCCACCACUCCAAAAGAAUGUGUUUCCAAGAUUUGGGAGUACAUAUUAAAAUUUGCAAGAAAAAAAAAUAAGAACUGCUUUUUCAUCUUUCAAAAGGUUGGCUGUUUCUGGAUAUUUUUAAAUUCCUUCCUAACAGUGCACACAUGUCCUUUAGGAUAGGACUCUGAUCUGGAAAUAAUAACAUAUUGAUGCUCUGACAGCACCACUCUGGAAUUAUUGCUGGAGGGCUGGAAGCCAACUUGGCUUCUGAUCAUGAGAGUUAAUGGAGAACCUCCUCUUGAUGGUUCUUUGUUUUUAUAUUUAAAUAAAUCUUAGAGGCACAGUCA